rnacentral:rRNA from 1 species
CCUACGGGAGGCAGCAGUGGGGAAUUUUGGACAAUGGGCGCAAGCCUGAUCCAGCCAUGCCGCGUGUAUGAAGAAGGCCUUAGGGUUGUAAAGUACUUUUGUUAGGGAAGAAAAGGGAAGUGCUAAUAUCACUUUUUGCUGACGGUACCUAAAGAAUAAGCACCGGCUAACUACGUGCCAGCAGCCGCGGUAAUACGUAGGGUGCGAGCGUUAAUCGGAAUUACUGGGCGUAAAGCGAGCGCAGACGGUUACUUAAGCAAGAUGUGAAAUCCCCGAGCUCAACUUGGGAACUGCGUUUUGAACUGGGUAGCUAGAGUGUGUCAGAGGGGGGUAGAAUUCCACGUGUAGCAGUGAAAUGCGUAGAGAUGUGGAGGAAUACCGAUGGCGAAGGCAGCCCCCUGGGAUAACACUGACGUUCAUGCUCGAAAGCGUGGGUAGCAAACAGGAUUAGAUACCCGGGUAGUC